GGUCGAUUCGUCUAGCGGUUAGGACACUGCCCUUUCACGGCAGCGACACGGGUUCAAGUCCCGUAUCGAUCA
rfam:Fibrella sp. ES10-3-2-2, complete genome.